AUGCAUGGGGAAUGGCCGGGAUAGCUCAGCUGGUAGAGCAGAGGACUGAAA
rnacentral:tRNA from 1 species